rnacentral:lncRNA from 1 species
UUUAGUUAAAUUUUAGACGGUUUUCGUGUAAAACGAAAGUGGCCGCAUUCGUGUUCAUCCUUAAUAUUGAAAUGUAAGUUGUAUUUUAUGAUAAUACAUAACAUAUUUAAAGGUUGAGGAUGAACACGGAUGCGGCCACUUUCAUUUUUACCAAAAACCAUCUGAAAAGUGACAUUUUUCUGCAUAUUAGGUAGAUUUUUCAUAUUUGAGCUUGAAUCGGACUAAAUCUGUUAAAAUCUUUCACAUAAACUAAUUAAUUCAAAUAAAAUAGACACUUAAGUGUUUAAAAAGUGAUCAAAAUCUUUCGUCAGAUGAACCUGAAAUUUGAGGCCAAAAUCGGUCCUUACCGGACCUACUCCUUUGUUAAAGGUUUUGAUGAAUUCUAUACAGUUUUCAAAUGCACCUCUCCAUACAGGUGAAAUUUUGAAGUAAUGUAAUGAUAGGAAUUUCAAAAUAAUCAAUAAUAUUUUAAUUUUUCGGAAUUAUCAUAAAUUAGCUUUUUUAUAAAUUUUGCAUGUUAACCGUAGGUUGUAUACCACACUUACACAUGAAUAUAGAUGUAGCUCCACAUUUAUUGUGUUUAUUAUUUCUGUUAUUUAAUAAGAAUCAUGUUAUUAUUGAAAACAUUUUAAAAAUGCUCAAAUUAAAGUAUUUUACCUAAAC